GUGCAGCAGGCGAGAAACUUUACAAUGUGCGAAAGCACGAUAAGGGAACUCUGAGUGCCUCCUAAGGAGGCUGUUCUGAUGUCUAAAAAGCAACAGAAGUAAGGGCUGGGUAAGACCGGUGCCAGCCGCCGCGGUAACACCGGCAGCCCAAGUGGUAGCCACGUUUAUUGGGUCUAAAGCGUUCGUAGCCGGCCAGGUAAGUUCCUUGGUAAAUUUAGCCGCUUAACGGUUAAGCUUUCAGGGAAUACUGCUUGGCUUGGGACUGGGAGAGGUCAGAGGUACUCCGGGGGUAGGGGUGAAAUCUAUUAAUCCCUGGGGGACCACCGGUAGCGAAGGCGUCUGACCAGACCAGGUCCGACGGUGAGGGACGAAGGCUAGGGGCGCGAACCGGAUUAGAUACCCGCGUAGU
rnacentral:rRNA from 1 species